rnacentral:ncRNA from 1 species
ACAAUCAAAUAAAACAAAGCCUAUAUAAUGUCUUGAUCUGGUUGACAGUUUCUACCUAACGCCGUAAACGUUAGACUAUAGGAAGACUAAUUUACAAU